UUUAAUUUUUUUUUUUUUUUUUAUAUUAUUUAGAUGCUGUUUUACAGCUAUGGCAAUAAACGUUUGGUUUGUGAACCGAGACGGACCCGGGGGCGGUACCCGGCACCUCCACCAAAGUUUUAUGGGGGUGAAAUAGGAUCGACGUGCGUGGGAAUUAUCAAAAAUUUUGCCCGGAAUGGUACCAACGUUAUCGGACUAAAAACUUAUAAAUGCCAAUGAUAAUGAAAUGGCACUCGCUGCUUAAUUUAUUUAAGUAAGCGCGGUUGUGAGAUACCGGGCAACAGAAGUC
rnacentral:tmRNA from 1 species